rnacentral:rRNA from 1 species
AGAGUUUGAUCAUGGCUCAGAGCGAACGCUGGCGGCAGGCCUAACACAUGCAAGUCGAACGAACUCUUCGGAGUUAGUGGCGGACGGGUGAGUAACACGUGGGAACGUGCCUUUAGGUUCGGAAUAACUCAGGGAAACUUGUGCUAAUACCGAAUGUGCCCUUCGGGGGAAAGAUUUAUCGCCUUUAGAGCGGCCCGCGUCUGAUUAGCUAGUUGGUGAGGUAAAGGCUCACCAAGGCGACGAUCAGUAGCUGGUCUGAGAGGAUGAUCAGCCACAUUGGGACUGAGACACGGCCCAAACUCCUACGGGAGGCAGCAGUGGGGAAUCUUGCGCAAUGGGCGAAAGCCUGACGCAGCCAUGCCGCGUGAAUGAUGAAGGUCUUAGGAUUGUAAAAUUCUUUCACCGGGGACGAUAAUGACGGUACCCGGAGAAGAAGCCCCGGCUAACUUCGUGCCAGCAGCCGCGGUAAUACGAAGGGGGCUAGCGUUGCUCGGAAUUACUGGGCGUAAAGGGAGCGUAGGCGGACAUUUAAGUCAGGGGUGAAAUCCCGGGGCUCAACCUCGGAAUUGCCUUUGAUACUGGGUGUCUUGAGUAUGAGAGAGGUGUGUGGAACUCCGAGUGUAGAGGUGAAAUUCGUAGAUAUUCGGGAGAACACCAGUGGCGAAGGCGACACACUGG